UGGCUUCUUUUACAGGGCACCUGGAAGUGCUUCAGCCGUUUCUGCAACGUCCUCUGGCGGCACCCACGGAACCCAAGAGCGGCUUCCAUCUAUCGCUCCAGGGGGGUAAUGCCCUGAAUAUAUAUUCUCUUCCUCAGUCCUUCCACUACAGAGGCGUUCCGGCCAGCACAGAGAAGACACCCAAUGAAGGCACCCUCAGUAUAUUUGAGGCACUCCCAUGAGGUAGAAUCUCAUUGUGGACUAAUGUUUGACAGAGAUGGUGCUCUACCCAAAAUCUGAAAAGCUUUGAGAAGGUUUGUCAUUAAUAAUUGAAUGGAAACUAUUUUGCAAGUUUUGUGACCUGUUGCGGAAAAACCGCAGAAGACACUGUUGGACUGCAAAUCCCAUCAAGUCCUGGAGUACUGCGUCAUUGGGCAGCUUUGGCAGUAGCUGUCAGGGCUUCUGGGUCAAAGAUAAGGGUGCUAGCUUUAAAAGUGAGCCAUAUGAAAUCAGCUGGAUCGCAAUUGGUGGUGUGUUUUUGAUUCAAUGAUUCACUGCACAAAUAAAUUAC